CAUGAAAGCAUUGAAAGGGAGAAAAAUGACUGGAUUGGCAAAAGUCUUGACAAGAGAGGCCAACAGAAACCAAAAGCCUUCACGACUGUAACUCAAUUUGUUUUCUGAGCUCAGAAGAGAAUGACACUGUGCUAGAUGGAUUUCAGUUGUCCUUCCAGAUCUGCUCUCCACUUCUCCACACUGGCCAGCACCCUUCAUGUGCUGCUCACAAAGCCGAGAGCCACAGAGGAGCACACGGGAUAUAUUCUGGAAAAGAAGAGGAGGAGGAAGAAGAAUGACUGUAAAGGAAGGAGCAGUACUGUUUUCAUGAGGACCUACUAUGUGCCAGACAUUAUUCUAGGUGCUGGGGCUACCAUGGGAAACUUGCAGCUACUUGGGAGGCUAAGGUGGGAAGAUCGCUUGAGCCCAGGAGGUCGAGGCUGCGGUGAACCAAGAUUGUGACACUGCACUCCAGCCUGGGCAACAGAUGCUGUGUGAAGAUGAAGGCAGAGAUCAGGCUGAUGCUUAUGGAAAGCCAGAGAUUGCCAACAAACCACCAAAAGCUAGGAGAGAGGCCUGGAACAGAUUCUCUCUGAGUCCUCAGAAGGAACCAACCCUGCCAACACUGUGAUCUUGGACUUCUAAACCCCAGAACUGUGAAAUAAUAAAUGUCUGAUGUCUAAGCCAGCCAGUUUGUGGUAGUUUGUUACAGCAGCCCUAGAAACCUAACAUAUGGUACGUAUGGUUUUGUCUUCCCAACCCACUUAUUUUUCUGGGAAAUCUC
rnacentral:lncRNA from 10 species